AUUGAACGCUGGCGGCAGGCCUAACACAUGCAAGUCGAGCGAGCGGCGGACGGGUGAGUAAUGUCUGGGAAACUGCCUGUUGGAGGGGGAUAACUACUGGAAACGGUAUCUAAUCCCGCAUCCCAUCAGAUGUGCGCAGGUGGGAUUAGCUAGUAGGUGGGGUAACGGCCCACCUAGGCGACGAUCCCUAGCUGGUCUGAGAGGUUGAGCAGCCACACUGGAACUGAGACACGGUCCAGACUCCUACGGGAGGCAGCAGUGGGGAAUAUUGGACAAUGGGCGAAAGCCUGAUGCAGCCAUGCCGCGUGUGUGAAGAAGGCCUUCGGGUUGUAAAGCACUUUCAGCGGGGAGGCGUUACCUACAGAAGAAGCACCGGCUAACUCCGUGCCAGCAGCCGCGGUAAUAC
rnacentral:rRNA from 1 species